GUGAAAAUAGCUCAACGGUAGAGCGUAAUCAAAUUCAUAAAUAUGAUUAAGAUAUGGGUUCGACUCCCAUUUUUUGCU
rnacentral:tRNA from 1 species